AUGGCUACCCUCAAGCCUGGCUUACCAGGUCUUGGACAGAGAGGACCGGCCUCUAUGCAGAUUCUGAACAGAGUGCUUGAAGGAGGGGGCCGCACCGUCCACCAGCAGUUGGGAGAUCUGUCCUUGUCCACUGUUUAUGCUCUCCUGGCGACUCUGAUGCAGUGUCUGAGCAUGGGGUGCCUCUGCGUAGCCAUUUCUUUGCUCAAAUGGAUCAUAGCGGUGCAACCCUUCUAUCAUCGCCCAAACGUCUUGGUGACCUCCAGCUUUGGCAUACCCUACGACGUGUCCAUCUAUGAACCAUGGAAUCCCAACGCCACAGACUUGCGGAAAUAUUAUUUCUUUAGCGAAGAAGAGGUAAUUGAGCCAGUGAUGAUCACAGUUUGCCUCUUGAGCCUGUCGUCUGGCUUUCUAGCUUUUCUCCUGGGAUUCGUGGAAGUGAAGAAGCUAGGGCAGUACCAGUCGGCCGUUGUCACUUUCCUACACAUUCUGUCAGGCAUAUUUCUCACAAGCCUGGUCGUCCUGUGUUCGUGGUGCCUUAUGAAGAUUCGACAGCGUGUCAAUGAGGAAGGAUGGAAGCUAUUCCGGUUAAAAGUUAUGCCAGGAGAGAGUUUUUAUAUUGCCUUAACGUCCUUCCUUUUUAUUAUCCUCGCUGUUCUGUUUAAUUUGUGGUCAAUGACUGUCAGUGCCUAAAAACAAUAUCAACUCAGAGCGGCCUUCCUAAGAAAAUACAGAUUUAAGUGCAGGGCAUAAAUGUCCUGAAAAUGGGAUGAUUCGGAUGUAAUGCUUUCUAAACCAUGUUUUAUUAAGUGGGAGAUGACCCAUAAGCCCAUGUGUUUUGCUCUUCUCCUGUAGAAAAAUGGUUAUUCAAAUCAGAGUUUCUCAUAUUUGAAAUGAAGAACACAGGUUCUGUUGCUUUACUAACUAGGAUAUUAAGCCAGUGUUUUAAACCUGAUGCAAGCCAACGUGCUCUGUUUCAGAAAUAGGACCUCUUUUUUAAAGUCUGUGCGCCAGGGAAGAGAAUAAACCAGGCACUUGUUCACA
rnacentral:lncRNA from 1 species